UACAGAGACCUCGAGCGUUAUCCGGAUUGAUUGGGCGUAAAGCGUGCGCAGACGGCGAUUCAAGUCUACGGUCAAAUCCCGAUGCUCAACAUCGGGACUGCCGCGGAAACUGGGUUGCUAGAGUGCGGAAGAGGUCAGCGGAAUUGCCGGUGUAACGGUAAAAUGUGUUAAUAUCGGCAAGAACACCAGAGGCGAAAGCGGCUGACUGGGACGCAACUGACGUUGUGGCACGAAAGCGUGGGGAG
rnacentral:rRNA from 1 species